UACAUAGGUAACCUACGCCUCGGACUGGGAUAAUUCCUGGAAACGGGUUGUAAUACCAGAUGGUCUGGUUGUUCCGCAUGGAGUGGCCAGUAAAUGGUACCAUUGGUUCUGCCGAGGAAGGGGUCUAUGUCCUAUUAGCUUGUUGGUGAGGUAACGGCUCACCAAGGCUUUGAUGGGUAGCCGGACUGAGAGGUUGGCCGGUCACACUGGGACUGAGACACUGCCCAGACUCCUACGGGAGGCUGCAGUCGAGAAUCUUCCGCAAUGGACGAAAGUCUGACGGGGCGACGCCGCGUGAACGAAGAAGGCCUUCCGGGUUGUAAAGUUCUGUCAGGAGGGAAGAAACGGUAGGGGUUAAUAGCCUUCUAUCUUGACGUUACCUCUAGAGGAAGCCCUGGCUAACUCCGUGCCAGCAGCCGCGGUAAUACGGAGAGGGCAAGCGUUGUUCGGAAUCACUGGGCAUAAAGGGCACGUAGGCGGAUCAGAAAGUCGGUUGUGAAAGCCCGGGGCUCAACCCCGGAACUGCUUCCGAAACUUCUAGUCUAGAGGAUGAGAGGGGAGAGUGGAACUUCUGGUGGAGCGGUGAAAUGCGUAGAUAUCAGAAGGAACACCGGUGGCGAAAGCGACUCUCUGGCUCGUUUCUGACGCUGAGGUGCGAAAGCUUGGGUAGCGAACGGGAUUAGAUACCCCGGUAGUCCAAGCCGUAAACGAUGAGCACUAGGUAGGGGAGGCUCUGACGUCUUCCCUGCUGUAGCUAAUGUGUUAAGUGCUCCGCCUGGGGAGUAUGGUCGCAAGGCUAAAACUCAAAGGAAUUGACGGGGCUCACACAAGCGGUGGAGGAUGUGGCUUAAUUCGAGCCUACGCGAAGAACCUUAUCCUAGCCUUGACAUGCUUAGGAAUUUCGGUGAAAGCGGAUGACCUUCGGGGGACUUGCACAGGUGCUGCAUGGCUGUCGUCAGCUCGUGUCGUGAGAUGUCGGGUUAAGUCCCUUAACGAGCGAAACCCUUGUCCUUAGUUGCCAGCGAGUAAAGUCGGGGACUCUAAGGAGACUGCCGGUGUUAAACCGGAGGAAGGUGGGGAUGACGUCAAGUCCUCAUGGCCUUUAUGAUCAGGGCUGCACACGUCCUACAAUGCGGCAUACAAAGGGAAGCGAACCCGUGAGGGGGAGCAAACCCCAAAAAGUGUCGCUCAGUUCGGAUUGCAGGCUGCAACUCGCCUGCAUGAAGCUGGAAUCGCUAGUAAUCGCGGGUCAGCAUACCGCGGUGAAUGUGUUCCUGAGCC
rnacentral:rRNA from 1 species